AGUGGUAGUUGUAGCAUUAGUAUGGUGGUAGUUAUAGUGGUAGUUAUAGCAUUAGUAUGGUGGUAGUUAUAGUGGUAGUUAUAGCAUUGGUAUAGUGGUAGUUAUAGUGGUAGUUAUAGCAUUAGUAUAGUGGUAGUUAUAUCCUUAGUAUAGUGGUAGUUAUAUCAUUCGUAUAGUGGUAGUUGUAGCAUUAGUAUGGUGGUAGUUAUAGUGGUAGUUAUAGCAUUGGUAUAGUGGUAGUUAUAGUGGUAGUUAUAGCAUUAGUAUAGUGGUAGUUAUAUCAUUAGUAUAGUGGUAGUGAUAGUGGUAGUUGUAGCAUUAGUAUGGUGGUAGUUAUAGUGGUAGUUAUAGCAUUAGUAUGGUAUUAGUUAUAGUGGUAGUUAUAGUGGUAGUUAUAGCAUUAGUAUGGUGGUAGUUAUAGCAUUAGUAUGGUGGUAGUUCUAGUGGUAGUUCUAGUGGUCGUUCUAGCAUUAGUAUGGUAUUAGUUCUAGUGGUAGUUCUAGUGGUAGUUCUAGUGGUAGUUCUAGUGGUAGUUAUAGUGGUAGUUAUAGUGGUAGUUAUAGCAUUAGUAUAGUGGUAGUUAUAGCAUUAGUAUAGUGGUAGUUCUAGUGGUAGUUCUAGUGGUAGUUC
ensembl:lncRNA